UACGUAGGGGGCUAGCGUUGUCCGGAUUUAUUGGGCGUAAAGAGCGUGUAGGCGGCCAGAUAGGUCUGCUGUGAAAACUCGAGGCUCAACCUCGAGAUGUCGGCGGAAACCAUUUGGCUAGAGUCCGGAAGAGGAAAGUGGAAUUCCUGGUGUAGCGGUGAAAUGCGCAGAUAUCAGGAAGAACACCAGUGGCGAAGGCGGCUUCCUGGCCCGAUACUGACGCUGAGGCACGAAAGCGUGGGGAGCAAACAGG
rnacentral:rRNA from 1 species